ACGCUAACUUUGUCGGCAUGUACACUAAAAUUGGAACGAUACUGAGAAGAUCAGCAUUUCCUGAACAAGGGUGAUACACAAAUUUAUGAAGUGUUCCAUAUCUUU
ensembl:snRNA U6 U6 spliceosomal RNA